rfam:Colletotrichum orchidophilum strain IMI 309357 Scaffold_81.1, whole genome shotgun sequence.
ACAUACGACCACAACCACUGGAGAACUCGGGAUCCCGUCCGCUCUCCCAUAGAUAAGCCAGUGAGUGCCGGAUUAGUAGUUGGGUCGGUGACGACCAGCGAAUCCCUGGUGUUGUAUGUU